rnacentral:SRP_RNA from 1 species
GGGCACGCUGGUGCACGCCUGUAGUCCCAGCUACUCCGAAGGCUGAAGUGGGAAGAUCGCCAGAGCCCAGGAGUUCUGGGCUGUAGUGUGCUAUGCCAGGUGGGUGUCUGUGCUAAGUUUGCCUUCAGUAUGGUCACCUUCUGGGAGUGGGGGACCACUAGUUUGCCUAAGGAGAGGCGAACUGGCCCAGGUUGGAAACAGAACUGGUAAAAACUCCCAUGUUGAUUAGUAGUGGGAUUUUGCCUGUGAACAGCCACUGUACUCCAGCCUGGGCAGCAUAGUGAGACCCAAUCUCU